rnacentral:rRNA from 1 species
GGAGGUUGCGAGCGUUGUUCGGGAAUUACUGGGGCGUAAAGGGAGCGCAGGCUGCCUGGUGAGUCUGAAGUGAAAGCCCGGGGGGCUUAACCUCGGGAAGUGCUUUGGAUACUGCCAGGCUUGAGUGUGUGAGAGGAGAGCGGAAUUCCAGGUGUAGCGGUGAAAUGCGUAGAUAUCUGGAGGAACACCGGUGGCGAAAGCGGCUCUCUGGCACAACACUGACGCUGAGGCUCGAAAGCGUGGGGAGCGAACGGGAUUAGAUACCCCGGUAGUCCACGCCGUAAACGUUGUGCACUAGGUGUAGGAGGUAUCGACCCCUUCUGUGCCGCAGCUAACGCAUUAAGUGCACCGCCUGGGGAGUACGGUCGCAAAGACUG